rnacentral:misc_RNA from 1 species
UUUCCGUAGGUGAACCUGCGGAAGGAUCAUUACUGUGUUGAUUGAGAUUAGGUGCUGGCGCGUUGCGCAUGUGCACGACUCUCAAAAUCCGAACCUUCCACACCCUGUGCACGUUUGUUAAGAACGGUUUCGUUCUUAAAACUAUUACAAACUCUUGUUGUAUUGUCGUUGGGUUAAUGUUAACAAAUGAAAACUUUCAACAACGGAUCUCUUGGCUCUCGCAUCGAUGAAGAACGCAGC